AUCAGUGAUGAUUUAUCCAUGUAUUUGAGAUGUAGUUUACCUCAAGACCCUGUUUCAGGGAGAAUCUACUUGGGGUUGCUGCAUUUACCUUGAAAUUAUUGGAUUUCUCUGAGAC